AACGAACGCUGGCGGCAGGCCUAACACAUGCAAGUCGAACGCCCCGCAAGGGGAGUGGCAGACGGGUGAGUAACGCGUGGGAACCUACCUUGUGGUACGGAACAACCAAGGGAAACUUUGGCUAAUACCGUAUGAGCCCUUAGGGGGAAAGAUUUAUCGCCAUGAGAUGGGCCCGCGUAGGAUUAGCUAGUUGGUGAGGUAAUGGCUCACCAAGGCGAAGAUCCUUAGCUGGUCUGAGAGGAUGACCAGCCACACUGGGACUGAGACACGGCCCAGACUCCUACGGGAGGCAGCAGUGGGGAAUAUUGGACAAUGGGCGCAAGCCUGAUCCAGCCAUGCCGCGUGUGUGAUGAAGGCCUUAGGGUUGUAAAGCACUUUCGCCGAUGAAGAUAAUGACGGUAGUCGGAGAAGAAGCCCCGGCUGACUUCGUGCCAGCCGCCGCAGUAAGAC
rnacentral:rRNA from 1 species